UUAAAACAAGCUUUUAAGAGCAGAUGGCGGAUGCCUUGCCAAAGAGAGGCGAUGAAGGACGUACUAGACUGCGAUAAGCUAUGCGGAGCUGUCAAGGAGCUUUGAUGCGUAGAUGUCCGAAUGGGGCAACCCAACUAAUAGAGAUAUUAGUUACUCUUUAAAUAGAGAGCGAACCUAGUGAAGUGAAACAUCUCAGUAACUAGAGGAAAAGAAAUCAACGAGAUUCCCUAAGUAGUGGCGAGCGAACGGGGAAAAGGGCAAACCGAGUGCUUGCAUUCGGGGUUGAGGACUGCAACAUCCAAGAAAACGCUUUAGCAGAGUUACCUGGAAAGGUAAGCCAUAGAAAGUGAUAGCCUUGUAUGCGACAAGGCGUUUUCAGGUAGCAGUAUCCAGAGUAGGCCAGGACACGAGAAAUCCAGGUUGAAGCCGGGGAGACCACUCUCCAACCCUAAAUACUACUCUUUGAGCGAUAGCGAACAAGUACCGUGAGGGAAAGGUGAAAAGAACCGCAGUGAGCGGAGUGAAAUAGAACCUGAAACCAUCUGCUUACAAUCAUUCAGAGCCCUAUGAUUUAUCAGGGUGAUGGACUGCCUUUUGCAUAAUGAUCCUGCGAGUUGUGGUAUCUGGCAAGGUUAAGCGAAUGCGAAGCCGUAGCGAAAGCGAGUCUUAAUAGGGCGGUUAAGUCAGAUGCUGCAGACCCGAAGCUAAGUGAUCUAUCCAUGGCCAAGUUGAAACGCGUGUAAUAGCGCGUGGAGGACUGAACUCGUACCCAUUGAAACGGGUUGGGAUGAGCUGUGGAUAGGGGUGAAAGGCCAAACAAACUUAGUGAUAGCUGGUUCUCUUCGAAAUAUAUUUAGGUAUAGCCUCAAGUGAUAAUAAAAGGGGGUAGAGCCCUGAUUGGGCUAGGGCUGCUCGCCGCGGUACCAAACCCUAUCAAACUUCGAAUACCUUUUAUCGUAUCUUGGGAGUCAGGCGGUGGGUGAUAAAAUCAAUCGUCAAAAGGGGAACAACCCAGACUACCAAAUAAGGUCCCUAAGUUCUAUUCUGAGUGGAAAAAGAUGUGUGGCUACUCAAACAACCAGGAGGUUGGCUUAGAAGCAGCCAUCCUUUAAAGAAAGCGUAACAGCUCACUGGUCUAGUGGUCAUGCGCUGAAAAUAUAACGGGGCUAAGAUAGACACCGAAUUUGUAGAUUGUGUUAAACACAGUGGUAGAAGAGCGUUCAUACCAGCGUUGAAGGUAUACCGGUAAGGAGUGCUGGAGCGGUAUGAAGUGAGCAUGCAGGAAUGAGUAACGAUAAGAUAUAUGAGAAUUGUAUCCGCCGUAAAUCUAAGGUUUCCUACGCGAUGGUCGUCAUCGUAGGGUUAGUCGGGUCCUAAGCCGAGUCCGAAAGGGGUAGGUGAUGGCAAAUUGGUUAAUAUUCCAAUACCGACUCAUGGAGCGUGAUGGGGGGACGCAUAGGGUUAAGCGAGCUAGCUGAUGGAAGCGCUAGUCUAAGGGCGUAGAUUGGAGGGAAGGCAAAUCCACCUCUGUAUUUGAAACCCAAACAGGCUCUUUGAGUCCUUUUAGGACAAAGGGAGAAUCGCUGAUACCGUCGUGCCAAGAAAAGCCUCUAAGCAUAUCCGCAGUCGUCCGUACCGCAAACCGACACAGGUAGAUGAGAUGAGUAUUCUAAGGCGCGUGAAAGAACUCUGGUUAAGGAACUCUGCAAACUAGCACCGUAAGUUCGCGAUAAGGUGUGCCACAGCGAUGUGGUCUCAGCAAAGAGUCCCUCCCGACUGUUUACCAAAAACACAGCACUUUGCCAACUCGUAAGAGGAAGUAUAAGGUGUGACGCCUGCCCGGUGCUCGAAGGUUAAGAGGAUGCGUCAGUCGCAAGAUGAAGCGUUGAAUUGAAGCCCGAGUAAACGGCGG
rnacentral:rRNA from 1 species